AAAGGGAGACCUAAUUCGGGUAUGGGAUGAAAAAAAAGUAGUCCCAACCAAGAAUCAAUCCCAAAAGGUCGGAGCGAGGCGAAAUUGGCUUUCAAACUAGGUUCUGGGUUCACAGAAGACCUGAAUCAGGAACAAGGGCUAUUAGCUCAGGUGGUUAGAGCGCACCCCUGAUAAGGGUGAGGUCCCUGGUUCGAGUCCAGGAUGGCCCACCUGCACAGGUGGUAAGAACAAGAGAAGCGAGGAAUCAGCACCUUAUCUUACUUACAUAGUAAGAGAGAAUGCUGGCUCUGAGUAAAGAGUCCAGAGGAACCUUGAAAACUGCAUAGAGCUAGGUGAAAAAGCCAAAAAAGAAGACCGCAAG
rnacentral:tRNA from 1 species